GAUGAACGCUGGCGGCGUGCCUAAUACAUGCAAGUCGAGCGAACGGACGAGAAGCUUGCUUCUCUGAUGUUAGCGGCGGACGGGUGAGUAACACGUGGAUAACCUACCUAUAAGACUGGGAUAACUUCGUGAAACCGGAGCUAAUACCGGAUAAUAUUUUGAACCGCAUGGUUCAAAAGUGAAAGACGGUCUUGCUGUCACUUAUAGAUGGAUCCGCGCUGCAUUAGCUAGUUGGUAAGGUAACGGCUUACCAAGGCAACGAUGCAUAGCCGACCUGAGAGGGUGAUCGGCCACACUGGAACUGAGACACGGUCCAGACUCCUACGGGAGGCAGCAGUAGGGAAUCUUCCGCAAUGGGCGAAAGCCUGACGGAGCAACGCCGCGUGAGUGAUGAAGGUCUUCGGAUCGUAAAGCUCUGUUAUUAGGGAAGAACAUAUGUGUAAGUAACUGUGCACAUCUUGACGGUACCUAAUCAGAAAGCCACGGCUAACUACGUG
rnacentral:rRNA from 1 species